ensembl:lncRNA
GUGGGCGCUUUUACGACACAACCUCGCCCUGACUGCAGUUCAGAACGUGUGAAUCAGAAUCUCUGCAGGCACGGUCCAAGCGCUGGAACUUUUAAAAGCUCCUCGGGUGACUCUAGUGUGUAGCCUGGAUUGAGAACCACUGAACUAAAUUGUUUACGUGAUAAGGCAGGAUGGAAGUGUGCAUGCUUGAGUAGAAAGGAAGAGGCACCAAGAGGAGCUAAAGAUGCUGGAGAGGAAGAGCAUAGGUGUGAACCCACAGACGUAAGAAAAAUGAACAUCUUUUAGGUCUGGGGAGACUCUGCUUCUGGCUGUGGGUGACGGACGGGGCUUGCCUCUGGGCUGUUCCAUGCAUCUCAUUCCAGGCUAACAGGCAGCAGCAACUCAGGGCAUAUUCUUCUCCUGGCUACAGCAAGUGAGCGGGCAAUGGCUCAUUUUAAACCUCUGCUCAUGCAACAGGCUCUGACAUCCCAUUGGCCAAAAUGAGUCAUACGCUAAGUCCAAAGUCAAGGGUGGAAAGAACACGCUGCCCACCAUGAGUCCAUGUCAAGGGUAUUGAAGUGUAAUUUUCUAGCAGGAGAAUGAAGAAUUGAGGCCAAUGAUUCAGUUCACCACAGGUUUCCAAGAUUUUUGUAGUCACUUUUCAUCUCACUAAAACCUAUCAUACAAACCCCACCACGGGCAGUGGUAUCUUUGUCGUCUUUCCCCAGAAUAUGUUUUGUUUAUUCCCAUCAAAGCUCCCGCCUCAUCAGGAGUUACACUAACACAGCUUUUAACUCAAACAUCCUUUUUUUUUUUCUUUUUUUAAAUGGAAAUCAUUCCUUAUUGAAUUCUUCUCCUGGAUGCCUUUCCUUAGAGAUUCUCACGCACACACAAAAGUAGUCCUCCUCUGUUCUUUAGGGAAACAGAACCCAGAAAACUCUGUCAAGUGAAGCAUGCUGGCUACGUAUGUGUUUUCCUCCGACAGAAUAGCACACUUCCCAAACCACUUCACUUGUACUAAUACAAAUUUACUUAAUUUUGCAGCAG